rnacentral:rRNA from 1 species
CGGCGCCACAAGUGGCAUCCAUAUUUAUUUGGCCUAAAGCGUCCGUAGCUGGUUUGAUUAAUCUUUUGUGAAAUUGUUGAGCUCAACUCAACAGCGUGCAGAAGACACUAUCAAACUUGGAACCGGGAGGAGUCGAAGGUAUUCCUUGGGGAGCGGUAAAAUGCUAUAAUCCUUGGAAGACCACCUGUGGCGAAGGCGUUCGACUAGAACGGAUUCGACAGUGAGGGACGAAAGCCAGGGGAGCGAUCCGGAUUAGAGACCCGAGUAGUCC